GAAAGAUGCUGCUUUUCUCCUGACAAUCUUCAAAGAGGGACCAGGUCAUGAUAAAGCAAAGCUGAAAGUCACUGCAGAGCAGAGAACAAAAGCAAAAGGAAGUUUUGCUGCUAACUGUCUCUAUCAAGUUUUUCUACAUUGAAGACAAACUGUGUAUGUGAUUUGUUCUCCUCAAAUGAGAUAUUCAGGGUACGUUGCUCAAAUAAAGAGGGCAAAGCGAUAUGGAGCACAUAGAAAAGAAGAGCGUUUACAUUGAAAGUGAAUUCCGGAGCAAGGAAGUUAUUGGCAUUCGUUUAGUGUACCACAAUGCUAGGGCUGAGGCCUCCGGGAUCCUCUGGGCCUUUUUCAUGGUUGAAAAAUGACAGUGGCAGCUUCAUUCCUUGUGCCCAGUUCCAGAGAGGAGGAAUGAGAAAGGAGCAAGAAGAAAAGGCUGACAUCUAUGGGAAGCCAAACUUUUUCAGGAAUCCCCUGCUCAGCACAAUCAUAACUACAUAGAUGAUUACAGUUGUAUGUUCGGAGAAAAAGAGGAGAGAGAAGACUAAGACUCAUAGGAAAGAAUCCUGCUUUUAUUAAUCAUUCAUACAUAUUUUCAUUUAUGUUUUGAAAGCCAACAACAUACCAGGCUGUCUGUUUGGCACUUAAUAUCUUCAGUCUGACCGAUACCAACUUCGGUUUUCUUGUGGAAAAAAUAAGGAUGUGCUCCUCCUGGGCAUUCAGAAUCCAGCAGGAACACUAUCGCCUCUAUGAACCCCAUACCAGCCCAGGCUAAGUAAGAU